UACGGGGGGGGCAAGCGUUGUUCGGAAUUACUGGGCGUAAAGGGCUCGUAGGUGGCCAACUAAGUCGGACGUGAAAUCCCUCGGCUUAACCGGGGAACUGCGUCCGAUACUGGAUGGCUUGAGUUCGGGAGAGGGAUGCGGAAUUCCAGGUGUAGCGGUGAAAUGCGUAGAUAUCUGGAGGAACACCGGUGGCGAAGGCGGCAUCCUGGACCAACACUGACACUGAGGAGCGAAAGCCAGGGGAGCAAACGGG
rnacentral:rRNA from 1 species